rnacentral:lncRNA from 1 species
GUGAAAAAAAUUAAAAGAAAAACCCUAUUCCCUCUCCCUCUCUCUCACAUUUCGGCCUGGCCUCCUCUCGGCCCACGGCUCCCUCUCCGCCCUCCUUUCCUCCCUUCUCCCUCUAACGCAUGGGGCCCGUACGCCAGCUUCUUCCCCCUCCUUCCACAACCGCCUCCUCCCCUCUCUCCCUCUACAGCCGAAACCACCGACCGAAGCCGCGCCCCGCUCCCACUUCCCCCACGAACUCCUUUGGAACCCUCUCUUCCCCGCGCCUUGCUCUCCUUUGGAACUCCAGUGCCCUAGCCACCUUUCCCCACUCCCUAUUCCACUCUUCCCUUCCCUCUGCUCCGCUCGCUGCGCGUAGUAACCACC